CUUCACUUACUCAUAUGUCCAUGACUUUCAUCAACUUGUGUUUAAGGGCCGUUCAAGCAGGACAAACCACCGCUUUAAAGCAAUUACUCGGUGAUGAUCAGGAGGGGCCAGGGGAUUCUGUUUGCUUAUGUGUGUGAACCUGAAAUGCCUACUUUCUUAAUUAAGCUUUAACUCUGCCUUUUGCCUCAAGCUUUUCAUUUUUUUCCCCCUCUUUAACAAGUCUCAGCCUUUCUCCAUCACUGGAGGCCUUGGGCUUUGCCUGUUUCAUUUCUCUCUUCUGAGAAGCAUCUUCUCCUGCCCCACUACAAGGAUACCUCCCCUUUCUAGCCCCAGUUCCCAGCUGCUCUUAAUUUCAUGAUUAUCAGCCAUGGGCAGUCUUUCUUGAUGACUCAGAAGCAAGGGAUGCAGGGAAUUCUAUACCUGGGACUCCUCCUUCCCACCCAGCUCCCCUCAGUGCCACUCACCCUUUCUCAAGAACCCAUCCGAGGUCUCGAGCAGCCUUCCCUGAUCAGCACCAAGUUUGUUUGAGGUGCUCCAGGUCUGGCCCUCAUGGCUCUGGUGACUUCGUGAUUUUGGCUUUGAAUCUCCAGCAACUGGCAAUGCAUCUGGUACGCAGGAGAUGCUUGAUAGAUGCUUCUUGAAUGAAUGAAUGCGUGAAGGAAUGAAUGGACAAACUAGGCCAGUGUUCAGGCUCUCGUUUAAUCUGGAGGAACAUACACAGGCUGGUUGGAUGCAAGUCUGCGUGUCGGGAUUCAGAGAACAGACUCAGGCAGUUGUUGAUUACAUCAAACGCGUCACUGGGCCUGCGGAGGAGCUUGUGGCAUGCAGGUGGGCAGGAAAAACUCAAACCACACUUCACCUUGGGACUCCUUCCCCUCCUUGGAUCAGAACCACACCUUUGAUAUAUUGCUGUGUGAGGAGAAUGCGCCAUGUCCCAGUUUCUAUUUCAUCGUGCCUCUGAGUUGUAUUCACAGUGCUAACUUUUCUACAAAGAAAUACUUGUAGAAAUGCUGGAUGCAAUAGGAAGCUUUUAAAUGAGAAAAAUGGAGAUUCUAUAUGCCUACUUGGAUACCAAGAUUCUGCCCAAAAGUUAAAUUUAUUUGGAAAGAGUCUAAACUGGUGUUUCCCUGCCCCUGAUAUAAUCUCUUCUCCUCUCUCCCCUUCUCUCUCCCCAUCCUCCUCCCUCUCCCUCUCAUGAGCCUCAUAUGAGGGCCACAUGGUUAAAAUGACUCUUGACUGUUGUUUUUGUCCAUUGAAAACGUGACCAGUAUCUGCUGGGUGUCUGGGAACCUUACAAGCUUGCCUUCUGCAGCCCCUGUAAGUGGCUGAAUUAGUGUUUCUCACCCUGUCCUCAGACAGAAUUUGUUAUCAAAGCCCAAGGUACAGUGGAGGCCAAGGCAACCAGCUCAGAGGCCAACAGAGCCUUGAGGAUUGUAGCAGAAGAUGGGCAUUUUUUUUCCUCUAAAGAAGGAUUUUAAAGAUUAUCAAGUUGCUCCCUUUCAGACAGAGAGCAGAAAUACCAGAGGCUGUAGUUGUCGAAGGAAAGUUGACAAAGUUGAAAGUUGGUCAAGAGGUUGGAGAGAGAAGCUAUUUUCAGCAUACUGAAAGGGCACCAUCUGAAUUUAGUCAGAAAAAUGAGGUCCUUGGUUCAAAUUCCAGCCCCCUUCAGGGGCUAGCAAGCCUGAGCCAAUCAUUGACUUUCUCUGGACUUCAGCAGAAGGAUAUUCCUUUUGGUUUCAGGGAAACCUGGAUUUACUGGGGCACUGUCACUCACUCGCCGUGUAACCCUGGGUGUGAUGUUUAGCCAUAUCUCUCAGCAUCCUUAUCUCGAAGUGGAGAUUAUAACAUCCACUCAUUUGGGCUGGCUUUUGCGAGGAAGGCUCUCAGCUCACUCCGACUAGGUGAGUGUCAUUCCCAGAUACUGCCUGUGGCGAUAGGAUGGUGAGAAAGAUAACGAAAUGGUACUUGCUGGAAAUCCGACUGCCCUCCCAGUGCUCCUGCACAGUGCCAGGGCCAGUUCUGGAAGGCGACAUCUCACAGACCCCAGCUCCAUCUACAUGUGGCUCAACAUUUUGACUUGGCUCCCUUUGUCCAGAGAUGCACAGGGCUGCGCCGUUUUGAAACUGAAUGACACCCAGUCUGUUCUGAUGUCUUGGCGGGUGUGUUUAUUUACUCAACACGUGUUGUUAUAUUUUCUCCCAGCACGCGUCCUUCUCCUGCGUUUCAAGGUAGAAGAGCCAUUACCUCUAAUGAGAGCUCCUUUGUUGCUUGUAUGCCACUUAGAAUGUUCAAGAGUGUGCUCGAUUUUUAACCUUCCAGUGCAUCUCUGUAAUAGCAUGCCACCCUUAAAAAAUGAGAGUCAGCUUCCCUCUAAAAGGAGCAGACACCGAUUUUCAACCUGAGAAACCCCCACUCAUCCUUGUAGGGGCCUCGGUUCUGCUGAGGACGCUGUAAAGCACCGUGCGUGGAAAGGCAGGGGGACUGCCGCCUGCGGGCCCCUCUGCUCUGCCGUGACCCACGAUGCAAACGAGACCAGUGCCUCGAAGGAUGCCGCGUUCUCAGUGCAUGUAAGCACCGCCCUAGGAGCCUGCAUCACAUCACUAGGAAGUGCAUGGAUGGCAGCCCUAUUUUUUUUUAAAGAGGCUUCAAUAUCACCUAAGUGAAUUAAUGUUGCCAGGAAAGGCAUUUGGAGAAUUGGUGCAUUAGGAAUAAUUGUCUUCUGGAUGCUCCCCUCACUUGAUGGAUUCAUUCUGCCCUUUUAUCCCCAUUGCUAUGGAAGCAGUCCCUGCACCUCUUUUCAUCAUCAGUCAUCAUCGUGGAAACCUCUUUCGUCCAAAUGAAGCGCUAACUGCUCCCUGAACACAGCAGACGCCUCACCUGAAUGACAGAGCCCUGCUCAUCUUUCAAGACCCACUUCAUCUCUACACUCUUGCCAGAUUUCCUGACACCAGGGUGUUUGCUCCCUCCCUCCUCUGCAUCCUCCAGUACUCUCUUUGGGCUUCCCUGUAGCUCAGCUGGUAAAGAAUCCACCUGUAAUGCAGGAUAUCCUGGUUUGAUACCUGGGUGGAAAAGAUCCCCUGGAGAAGAGAUAGGCUACCCACUCCAGUAUUCUUGGGCAUCCCUGGUGGCUCAGUGGUAAAAGAAUCUGCCUGCAAUGCGGGAGACAUAGUUCAAUCCGUGGGUUGGGAAGAUAGAUCCCCUGAAGGAUGCUAUGGCAACCCAUUCCAGUAUUAUUACCUGGGGAAUCCUCAUGGACAGAGGAGCCUGGUAGGCUACAGUCCAUGAGGUCACAAAGAGUCAGACACAACUGAGUGACUAAGCACAGCACAGCACUUUCUUUACAUCAGUAACUCUACAGUGGCACUCCCACCCUGAUUGGCAGUUAGCUGCAUGCGUGUCUUUUUUUUUUUUAUUAAUUCAUUUAUUUGGCUGUGCUGGGUCUUACUUGUGGCAUGCAGGAUCUUCAAUUGCACUGUGUGGUAUCUAGUUCCCUGACCAAAGAUCGAACCCAGGUCCUCUUGCAUCGAGAAUGCAGAGUCUUAGCCACUGGACCACCAGGGAAGCCCCUGUGUACAUGUCUGUUUCUCCUCUUGGACUGUGAGCUCAAGGUUAACUUUGGGGAACACAUUUUAUUUUUUAUCAGCAGCACCUGCCUAAUAGUGCCCAAGAUAUAUCUGGCACUUCUUAUAACUCUGGAGAAGAAGAAAAAAUAAUGCACAGAAGAGUUGACUAUUAAGAGAUACCAAAGCUGCUGUAGGGUAGGAGGAGCCAGAGGCAGCUAGGCUAAAAGGUAUAGGGAGAAGGGGCUUUCCUCCUCUAUAGUAAACCCUCCCCUUCCACAUGGGAGUAGAUAGAGACCUGGGAAGGGUAAGCUUCAUGUCCAAAGGCACACAUGAUCCAGAGCUGGGGCCAUCACUCAACAAGGAAGCCUGUCCUCUCAGGCAGGCCAGCUCUUCUUCUCCAGCACCACCUCUGAGGCACUGUCUUGAAGGAAGUGAGGGAAGCAAAGUGGUACUACUGAAGGAUAAUGCCAAGCAUAAGGCAAGAAGAAAGCAGACAAGUCUGCCUCACUUCAUGUAUCCAAGUCCCUCCAUAGCUGUUUCUGGCUAAGUCCCAAGAGCUUGUAUGCUUGGCUGGGACUGGAAAGUGGAUGUUAGCCAUGGAUCCAUGGGAUGAUGGUAGCCAUGAGGUCGUGGGGCUGGCAUUGCUGGUUGCCUUUCCAGAUCCCCUCUCUUGUCCCUAUGGCUCAUGAGCCCUACUUUAUACCCAUGACCCUGUGCUUUGGGAGGCUUGUGGGGUUUAUCUACAGUAAUUCAAGACAUGCAUGGGAGUUCUGCCCCCUUGCUAAGGGUGGAUAUGGACAUGGGUCACAGUUCUGGCCAAUGACACAGGAGGACCAGUCUUCCUCACUGUCGAAGAGAGACUUCUGCAAGAUUGCCAGAUUUAGUAAACAAAACAGAAAACAACAACCUGCAAAUCCAAACAGAACACCCAGUUAAAUUUGAAUAUCAGAUAAAGGAUGUAUUUUAGUCUAAGUAUGUUCCGUGUGCUGUUUGAAUGCCCCAGAGCAACAUCCGUGAGGUACCCUCCUCCAGAGUUCUCCAAGCUCUCAGAAGGCUAAUGAAACCCUUGGGCUGGGAGAGUCACACACAGAUUUUAACCUCCUGGGGUUCAGACACUUUGAUGAGAGCACAUUCAUAUUCACAAGACAGGCUUGCUUCAGUGCCCCUUCUGUCUUGAAGUGUUGUUUGGUGCUCCAGAACCAUACUUGUCUGUUUGCAUGUGUUUCCUAACAUCAUUCUCCUUUUAUCCAGCCUCCAGUAAUGCUGACCGUGUUUAAAACAGUCAUAGAUUUUCUAUUUUACCUGGAGGUAGGGCUGUGGGCAACUGUUUGAAGCUACAGAGGAACAUCUCUAGAAUAUCUGGGAUGGCAGGUUGGCUUGAAGGGUGUUGAGUGGUGAGUCAUGUCUUCACUGCCUGGCCUAGAAAAUUCAUUGCAGCUCAGUUUUCUCAUCUCUAAAACUAUUCCUCAUCUCACAGGGCUGUUGUAACAAUUCAAAAUAGAUGAAACGUGCAUACAAGUACAGCCACUUUAGAAGACACUUUGGCAGUUUCUUAUAAAACUGCACCUACUCUUAUAUGAUCAGUGAUCAUACUCCUUGAUAUUUACCUAAAGGAGUAAAAUGCUUAUAUCUACACAGAGACCUGCACAUGGAUGUUUAUUCAUAAUUGUCCAAACUUGGAAGCAACCAAGAUGUCCUUCAGUUGGUAUGGAUAAAUCUGUGGUAGAUCCAGAUGAUGAAAUAUUAUCCAAUCCUAAAAAGAAAGGAGGGCUUCCCUGGUGGCUCAGUGGUGAAAAAUUUGCCUGCCAACGCAGGAGACGUGGCUUUGAUUCCUGGGUUGGGAAGAUCCCCUGGAGAAGGAAAUGGAAACCCACUCCAGUAUUCCUGCCUGGGAAAUCCCAUGAACAGAGAAGCAUGGUGGGCUACAGUCCAUGGAGUCACAAAGAGUCAGACAUGG
ensembl:lncRNA